rnacentral:tRNA from 1 species
CGGGAAAUAGCUCAGCUUGGUAGAGCACCUGGUUUGGGACCAGGGGGUCGCUGGUUCGAAUCCUGUUUUCCCGA